GAUGAACGCUGGCGGCGUGCCUAAUACAUGCAAGUCGAGCGAACAGACGAGGAGCUUGCUCCUUUGACGUUAGCGGCGGACGGGUGAGUAACACGUAGGUAACCUACCUAUAAGACUGGGAUAACUUCGGGAAACCGGAGCUAAUACCGGAUAAUAUUUCGAACCGCAUGGUUCGAUAGUGAAAGAUGGCUUUGCUAUCACUUAUAGAUGGACCUGCGCCGUAUUAGCUAGUUGGUAAGGUAACGGCUUACCAAGGCAACGAUACGUAGCCGACCUGAGAGGGUGAUCGGCCACACUGGAACUGAGACACGGUCCAGACUCCUACGGGAGGCAGCAGUAGGGAAUCUGCCGCAAUGGGCGAAAGCCUGACGGAGCAACGCCGCGUGAGUGAUGAAGGUCUUCGGAUCGUAAAACUCUGUUAUUAGGGAAGAACAAACGUGUAAGUAACUGUGCACGUCUUGACGGUACCUAAUCAGAAAGCCACGGCUAACUACGUG
rnacentral:rRNA from 1 species